AUUGAACGCUGGCGGCAUGCCUUACACAUGCAAGUCGAACGGUAACAGGUCUUCGGAUGCUGACGAGUGGCGAACGGGUGAGUAAUACAUCGGAACGUGCCUAGUAGUGGGGGAUAACUACUCGAAAGAGUGGCUAAUACCGCAUGAGAUCUACGGAUGAAAGCAGGGGAUCGCAAGACCUUGUGCUACUAGAGCGGCCGAUGGCAGAUUAGGUAGUUGGUGGGAUAAAAGCUUACCAAGCCGACGAUCUGUAGCUGGUCUGAGAGGACGAUCAGCCACACGGGGACUGAGACACGGCCCAGACCCCUACGGGAGGCAGCAGUGGGGAAUUUUGGACAAUAGGCGCAAGCCUGAUCCAGCAAUGCCGCGUGCAGGAUGAAGGCCUUCGGGUUGUAAACUGCUUUUGUACGGAACGAAAAGCCCUGGGUUAAUACCCUGGGGUCAUGACGGUACCGUAAGAAUAAGCACCGGCUAACUACGUGCCAGCCGCCGCGGUAAUAC
rnacentral:rRNA from 1 species